rnacentral:tRNA from 1 species
GAUGGUAUAGCCAAGCUAGGUUUUUAAGGCAAAGAACUGCAAAUUCUUGAUCCUCAGUUCAAUUCUGAGUACCAUCU